GGCUCGGUAGCUCAGUUGGUAGAGCAACGGAUUGAAGCUCCGUGUGUCGGCGGUUCGAUUCCGUCCCGAGCCAC
rnacentral:tRNA from 1 species